CCUGAUUAGAGGGGAAUCACCCACCUGGUGUCCCAGGUCUAAAUCAGUCCCUGAUUAGAGGGGAAUCACCCACCUGGUGUCCCAGGUCUAAACCAGGCCCUGAUUAGAGUGGAAUCACCCACCUGGUGUCCCAGGUCUAAAUCAGGCCCUGAUUAGAGGGGAAUCACCCACCUGGUGUCCCAGGUCUAAAUCAGGCCCUGAUUAGAGGGGAAUAACCCACCUGGUGUCCCAGGUCUAAAUCAGGCCCUGAUUAGAGGGGAAUAACCCACCUGGUGUCCCAGGUCUAAAUCAGGCCCUGAUUAGAGGGGAAUAACCCACCUGGUGUCCCAGGUCUAAAUCAGGCCCUGAUUAGAGGGGAAUAACCCACCUGGUGUCCCAGGUCUAAACCAGGCCCUGAU